rnacentral:snRNA from 1 species
AUUCUUGUGCUCGGGCACGUACUGUCGCCAGUGAGGUUUCUACCGAGGCACAGUCAAUUGCUGAUUGCAAAUUACACAUCCGAACUCGUCUGUUGGCUUUGGUCUUCAGCAAUUUUUGGAAAUUCCUUCAUCUGAUGAGGAC